rnacentral:rRNA from 1 species
GGAGUGUUGCUGGCCUCUAGGGGCAUGUGCACGCUUCACUAGUCUUUCAACCACCUGUGAACUUUUGAUAGAUCUGUGAAGUCGUCUCUCAAGUCGUUAGACUUGGUUUGCUGGGAUGUAAACGUCUCGGUGUGACUACGCAGUCUAUUUACUUAUAACACCCCAAAUGUAUGUCUACGAAUGUCAUUUAAAGGGCCUUGUGCCUAUAAACCAUAAUACAACUUUCAACAACGGAUCUCUUGGCUCUCGCAUCGAUGAAGAACGCAGCGAAAUGCGAUAAGUAAUGUGAAUUGCAGAAUUCAGUGAAUCAUCGAAUCUUUGAACGCACCUUGCGCCCCUUGGUAUUCCGAGGGGCAUGCCUGUUUGAGUGUCAUUAAAUUCUCAAACUCACUCUGGUUUUUCCAAUUGUGAUGUUUGGAUUGUUGGGGGCUGCUGGCCUUGACAGGUCGGCUCCUCUUAAAUGCAUUAGCAGGACUUCUCAUUGCCUCUGCGCAUGAUGUGAUAAUUAUCACUCAUCAAUAGCACGCAUGAAUAGAGUCUGGCUCUCUAACCGUCCGCAAGGACAAUUUGACAAUUUGACCUCAAAUCAGGUAGGACUACCCGCUGAACUUAAGCAUAUCAAUAAGCGGAGGAAAAGAAACUAACAAGGAUUCCCCUAGUAACUGCGAGUGAAGCGGGAAAAGCUCAAAUUUAAAAUCUGGUGGUCUUUGGCCAUCCGAGUUGUAAUCCUAGAGAAGUGUUAUCCGCGCUGGACCGUGUACAAGUCUCCUGA